CAGGGCCCACCAUGGGUGUUGACGGCUUCAUGAUGGUAAGAAGAGAACCCCCAGUCAUCCAGCUGGCGUGGCAGCCAAAGAGAAACACUUAAUCGGAUGGAGAUGAGAGCCCACCAGAGCAUAUAAUAGUCGCUGCUCCAAGAAGGCUGAGAUUCUAGGAUGCACGCACAGCCCACUCUCAACUCAUGACCUCCUCUGUGCCCAGGGAGCAGAACCUGCUAAUGAGAGGAACAGAAAAACCCACACAGAUCAACUCUCAAUGUCACUUUUACGGAGCAAGAUUCUUAUUUCUUCACAUGCUUUUUCUACCAUUUCAAGCAGACAAGACCUUUAUUCAAGGAUUCAUUCAUCCAUCCAAAAGACAUUUAUCAUGCUAUUCAGGAACAACAAGAAAUGAACAAUAAAGACAGCACAAUGAAGUCUCCUGCCUUGCUCCUACACUUGAGCUUCUGGGUUUAUGUUCUUUUGAAGAGAAAAAAAUACAUUGUAGAAGAAGAUUUUGUGUCCCCAUAAAAGUGAUCCCACACCCAGAGAUGACCCCACACUGGUCUAAGCCUGGUAUUUGCAACGUCAACUCAUGCCACUCACAUGGAGACACCAAUUAGGGCUUCUCAGAUGAAAGCUGAGUAUUUAAAUGUUAUUUUGGGGGAAAUGCCAUUAACCAUGCACACCUCUCCUUUCUACUCAAAAGACAUAAUAAAGUGACAGUAAAGAUUGACAAGGUGUUAACAAAAAGGACGAGAAUGUGGGCUAGAAGAAAGUAGAAGAUGGGAAAUAAAAAUGAAGGAAGUUGCAACCUAAAUGUUUGAAGUGGGGAUACCUGAGCAGCUAAUUCCUCCUAUAAAACCCCUGAGAGCCGGGUGCGGUGGCUUGCACUUGUGAUCCCAGCAUUUUGGAAGGCUGAGGCGGGUUAUCACCUUAGGUCAAGAGCUCGAGACCAGUCUGACCAACAUGGUGAAACCCCAUCUCUACUUAAAAUACAAAAAUUAGCCAGGCAUGGUGGCACAUGCCUGUAGUCCCAGCUACUUGGGAGGCUGAGGCAGGGGAAUUGCUUGAACCCAGGAGGUGGAGGUUGCAAUGAGCCAAGAUCUCACCAUCGCACUCCAGCCUGGGCAACAAGAGUGAAACUCUGUCAAAAAAAAAAAAAAAAAAAAAACACCUGAGGACUGAGGCUGAAAGGAGACAGCUUUUAUAGACCAUGAUUAGACAGUCUGUUUAUGCCAUGGAUCUUCAUGGCCACUACUAGAGUUUGAAGACUGAUUUACUGAAGAAAUUUUACAGAGAGCCUCUAGAGGCAGGGACAUAGGGCACAGUUGAGAGCUGAGUUUCUCUACCUCCAGAAUACCAGCCAUCAGGCACUCACCUUCCAGGGCAGAAAAAUGGAAGGCUUAUUUCUGGAGAAUUCCAGGGAAGCAAAUCCCUGAUCUCUAUUAUUGACAUUUUGGGUGCUUUAAUAAAAAGUAUGCAACACUGAAUGGUUAAAGUGAAACAUACCAGAUAACCACCAUCCUCUCGCCAUCAUUCAUGCAGAGGUGUUUUUUUUGAUUGUUUGUUUGAGAUGGACUCUUACUCUGUCACCCAACCUGGAGUGCAGGGGCACUGUGUCGGCUCAGUGCAACCUCUGUCUCCUGCGUUCAAGCAAUUCUCCUGCCUCAGCCUCCUGAGUAGCUGGGAUUACAGGCACCCACCACCACAGCUGGCUAAUUUUUAAAUUUUUAGUAGAGAUGGACUUCUUCAUGUUUGUCAGUCUGGUCUUGAACUCCCGACCUCAGGUGAUCCACCCACCUCGGUGAUCCACCCACCCAAUCCCAAAGGGUUGGGAUUACAGGCGUGAGCCACUGAGUCUGGCCAGAGGUUUUUUAAUGCAUUCCUAAACAUAUGAACAGUCUUUCAAGGACCAACAGACAUUAGGAGGAAGCCUUUGGGAUGAAAGAGUGACGCCCUAAUAAAAGGACUCAGAGAGAAAAAGGACCAAAUAAUCCAGAGAGAAGAAGAAAUUUACAAAUAAGUUAUCUCCAAAAGAUAAGAGCAAGACAUCACAUUUGUAAAACAAGAAAAAAAAUAGGUGAGUGCAGGGAGCAGAAUCAAAGAACACAAAUAAGGUGAAAAUUUUUUUAAUAUUGUAGAAAAAUUUUUAGAAGUCAGGAGUGUUUAGAGAACAAAUUCAAAUAAAUUUCCAGAAUAUAAAAUAAAAAGACAGAAAAUAGACAAUUAGUUAAGUGUAUGCUUAAAAAAUCAGAAGGAAGUCUUAUACUCAAAUAAUAGAUGUUUCAAAAAUAAAGAACAGAAAAUAAAAAUGGGAGGGGAUUAUCAAAAAAACAACAAAACACACUUUCUAGAACUGAAAGAUGUGAGUUUUCAUGUCAAGUGUGUUCAUCUUCAGCUAAGGAAGGAAGGAAAAAAGGAGAGACAAAAGGAGUAAGGGAGAGAGAGAAGAAGAAUUCCACACCCCACACCAUGAUGUAUUAUUACGGAAUUUCAGAACAUUUAAGACACAGGAUGGUCAUUAAAAUAUUUUAGGAAUGGGAUAGAAGUGGGAAGAGAAGGAACAGGUCACAUACAAAAGAAUAAGAAUCAGAAUGGCAUUAGAAAUCUCAAUGGAAACAUCACAGGCUAGAAGACAGUGGAUCAAUGUCAUCAAAAUUUUAAAUAAAAAAUGAUUUUCAACUUAAGUUUCUAUACCCAGGCAAAUUAUCAAUCCAGUGAAAAGGUAAAAUAGAAAAUUUUCCAAUAUGUAAGUACAAAAAAACCUUCUGUUCAUGUACCUUUAUUCAGGAAACUCCCAGAAGAUGAGCUUUAACACGAUGGAGUAGUAAAUCAAGAAAGAUAAAUAUACAAGAUCCAGUACACAAAAGACCCAACACAGGACUAAAGAAGAAAACAGAUAAGAGAAGGUAGCUGUGCCCAGGCUAGAGACCAAACAGAGGAAGAAGGGUGUUUAUGGACUGUUUUUUGUGUCUGGGUAUGAGCAUUGGGUAAAAGUGUUUAUGCUUCACCUAUCAGUUGCAGUAUGUGUCAGACGUUAUGCUAAUCACUGAAAUUAUAUACUUUAAUUAUCAUAUUAUAUGGAAUAUAAUUAUUGUACGUUUACUAUUACAAAAUUGCUAUUAUUUAUGUUAUUAUUAAGUUACUGUUACCUCACCAGAGGAAAACAUCUAAAUGGGUUUCCACCCUAUUUUAAAGAUUUUGAAUAAAAAUACAAACUCUAAGAUUAGCAUAAAUUUUGCUUUGAAGACCAAGAGGAAGUUAUCAGCUGGAACUGAUCCGCAAUGAGAGAUGUAACUGCCUGACAAGAGACAUAAGCCAUGGAAGAAAAGAAAGAAAAUAAACAAACCUCAAACAUGGAUCCAAAAUAAAAAGGAGCAAGAAAGAUGAUUCAAUUAUAGGAAUUGAUGUAUGACUGUGCUACUUCCCACAAGGGCAAAUCUACCUGUCCCUGGGUGAAUAACAGCAGGGAUUCAUGUAUAUGGUGAAAGCUAACAAUUCUCCCCUGAAUACCAGAAUUCCCUGUCCACAAACAGCUCAAAUGUCAUGGGUGGACCCAUAAACAGAAAUGCGAGGCUGUGGUUUGACAAGGACAGAAGUAGCAGCAUAUAAAAUUGUUGUCCGGAAGAGUGGUCCAUCCACCCUCCCUGAAGAACUAGGAUCUUUCUACCGAAGGAGUCCCAUGGGAAAACUAGGAAUUGGCGAGGUGGGAGGAGCUGACACGGUAUCUGUGGUGGAUGGGAGUGCAAAUUUGAAUACACACGAUCAUAAAACAGGAGAGACAGGAAAAGAGAUGAAAAUUGGGCUGUAGACAGACUGCAAAGGAUUUCAAUUUUCACAUUUCAUAAAGGUAACUGCUAAAGUUUAUUCCAAUCAUACUACAGGGCAGGUAUUAGGCUAAGCACUUAUUUUAUUUAAUAUUCGUUCCUGAGUUAUCUGCCUAAGUCCACUUUAUAGACUGAGAAACUGCCAUGCAGAGACAAAUAUGUAUUCUGUAAGAGGUAAGAAAGCCAGAAUAAUUCCUAAUUGCAAGAUGGGUUAUUUGACGAGAGCAGGAAAUAUUUGGAAUUUAAAACUGGAUUUUGAGGCUGAGUGCUGUGGCUCACACCUGUAAUCCCAGCACUUUGGGAAGCGGAGGUGGGCAGAUCAUUUGAAGUCAGGAGUUCAAGACCAGCCUUGCCAACAUGGUGAAACCCCAUCUCUACUAAAAAUACAAAAAUUAGCCGGGCAUGGUGGCCCAUGCCUGUAGUCCCAGGGAGGCUACUCGGGAGGCUGAGGCUAGAGAAUCACUUGAACCUGGGAGGCAGAGGUUACAAUGAGCCGAGAUCGUGCCACUGCACUCCAGCCUGGGUGAUAGAGUGAGAAUCAGUCUAAAUAAAAUAAAAUAAAAUAAAAUAAAAUAAAAUAAAAUAAAAUAAAAUAAAAUAAACUGGAUUUCAGGAAGGACAGUUGUACCGCUGCUGCCACUCUCAGUAGCAGUCUAGAAUGCAUAGUCCUGCAUGGCAUUUCACUAGCCUGACACUUGUUAAUUACUGUGCAAGUUAAUUUCAUCUUAUUUCCUGACACAUGGAAAAGACGGGAAAUGGAUGCGGCUCUCAG
rnacentral:lncRNA from 1 species